rnacentral:rRNA from 1 species
GAGAGUUAAACAGUACGUGAAAUUGUUGAAAGGGAAACGAUUGAAGCCAGUCGUACCUUCGGGUAAUCAGCCUUUCGGGUGCGAUUCUGUGGAGUGUGAGGAGCUUAAACACCUUCAUGUUUUGCAUAUUCGUACUCUUGGGUGUACUUGUCCGUGUGGUUGGUUAACAUCAAUUUUGGUGGUCAUAAAAUGACUGGGGGAAUGUAGCUUCGAUCUUGUAUUGAAGUGUUAUAGCCUUCGGUAGAUGUGAUGAUCGAGAUUGAGGAUUGCAACGGAUACCCUUCGGGGCUACCUGUCUGAUCUCUGAUCGUUGCUCUGGUGCCGAAAGCUUGCUUAUGAUGUUAGGGUAUUACGGUCAAAAGGUUAGAACGGAUUAAAUUCGUUAAGGAUGUUGACGUAAUGACUUUAAACGA